GAUGAAGAACGCAGUGAAAUGCGAUAAGUAAUGUGAAUUGCAGAAUCUCGUGAAUCAUCGAAUCUUUGAACGCACAUUGCGCCCUAUGGUAUUCCGUAGGGCAUGCCUGUCUGAGCGUCAGCUCCCACCCUCUCAAAUCCUUUUUUUUUCCUUUUAAAAAAGGGGGUUUGGAUUACUUUGAGGAAGUGUCACCUGAUAGUGCUGCUCCUCAGAAAUAUAUAGGCAGUAUGGUCAAACCUGAACCAGGCGUAAUAAUUCUAUAAAAUCGUCUAUGAAGGAAUGUCUGUAUUAGCCUUUAACCCAUUAAUUUUUACUUGGGUGACCUCAGAUCAGGUAGGGAUACCCGCUGAACUUAAGCAUAUCAAUAAGCGGAGGA
rnacentral:misc_RNA from 1 species